GAUGAACGCUGGCGGCGUGCCUAAUACAUGCAAGUCGAGCGAACAGACGAGGAGCUUGCUCCUCUGACGUUAGCGGCGGACGGGUGCGUAACACGUGGAUAACCUACCUAUAAGACUGGGAUAACUUCGGGAAACCGGAGCUAAUACCGGAUAAUAUAUUGAACCGCAUGGUUCAAUAGUGAAAGACGGUUUUGCUGUCACUUAUAGAUGUAUCCGCGCCGCAUUAGCUAGUUGGUAAGGUAACGACUUACCAAGGCAACGAUGCGUAGCCGACCUGAGAGGGUGAUCGGCCACACUGGAACUGAGACACGGUCCAGACUCCUACGGGAGGCAGCAGUAGGGAAUCUUCCGCAAUGGGCGAAAGCCUGACGGAGCAACGCCGCGUGAGUGAUGAAGGUCUUCGGAUCGUAAAACUCUGUUAUUAGGGAAGAACAAAUGUGUAAGUAACUAUGCACGUCUUGACGGUACCUAAUCAGAAAGCCACGGCUAACUACGUG
rnacentral:rRNA from 1 species